AUUGAACGCUGGCGGCAGGCUUAACACAUGCAAGUCGAACGAGUGGCGGACGGGUGAGUAAUGCUUGGGAAUCUGCCUGAUGGAGGGGGAUAACUACUGGAAACUGUAGCUAAUACCGCAUACCAUCGGAUGUGCCCAGAUGGGAUUAGCUAGUAGGUGGGGUAAAGGCUCACCAAGGCGACGAUCCCUAGCUGGUCUGAGAGGAUGAUCAGCCACACUGGAACUGAGACACGGUCCAGACUCCUACGGGAGGCAGCAGUGGGGAAUAUUGGACAAUGGGCGAAAGCCUGAUGCAGCCAUGCCGCGUGUGUGAAGAAGGCCUUCGGGUUGUAAAGUACUUUCAGCGGGGAGGCGUUACCCGCAGAAGAAGCACCGGCUAACUCCGUGCCAGCAGCCGCGGUAAUAC
rnacentral:rRNA from 1 species